AUUAUCUCUUUCUGUUUCUGUUCCAUCCACAUUCUAUUCACACUACAGUUCAGCAUGUGACUUCUAAAAUUUGCAUUUGAUCAGAUAGGAAGAGCAUAC